CAGCUAGUCUCUCUUAUUUGGAAACUGGCACACUGGUUUCCACAGCAACAGGACUUCUCCACUCUGUCCUCUCUGAGAGCCAUCUCAGAAGCGUUUUGGCAUAGAUAUCAAGGCCCAGGGUGAGCAGACUUCUCAGAGAGGAUGAAUCAUCUGCAUACUUCAUCCAAAGGGAAUUGGACUUUCUAAGCCCAAAGGUCUCAUGUGAUGUAAAUAGUGAAGCUGAGGCUAGGAUGUCAGGGUGUUAGGGAGGCUGGCUAUACUCAGAAAGCAGGAAUGCUGAGUCAGGUGAUGGAGACAGAUUUUGAUGAGUGUUGUGAAUUACUGGUUUGGCAUGGAACAUGCAAUGGCUUUGUACCAAAUCAUCGAGGGGGAAAAAGGAUUGGCACCAGCAGAGACCCUGACUUGCUCUAGAUAGAGUGAUGGUGUCUGUGAGCUCCUGCUCAGAGACCUGGAGAGCUUGUGAAGUGUCACACAAUCCUUCCGAGGAGGGCGAAACUGAUAAGCUGUCCCCUAAAGGGAGGAGGAGAAUCAUUCUUCUGGCUCAGUGACAACCGUCUUGCCCAUCAGGGGUGGAUAAAGGCUAUUUCUCAGAUAGGACAAUGGAAAUGAGGGGUUAGGGGUGGGGGUGAUCUUCAGGUGGGUAGGAGUGAAAUAUCUUGAUUUGGAGUGAAGGUAGUUUUCCUUUCUGAUUGUUCCAGAAGAGGACAAAAUUGACUAGAUGGUGGAUGACAGUUGCCCUUUGCAUAGAGGCUGGAUGUAGAAGGAAAAGUACAGUGCUUGAGAGUUCUGCACAGUGGUUAGGUACUGGAGGAACUGGAACUUACUUUGGGAAACUGACCAUUGAUAGGGUCUUGUUUUUACCUUGGUUAUUUCCCUGUUUCUUUUCACAUUUGUAACCAACAAAGGAAGAAGGAUGAAUAGAUCUCUGCAGUUUUUAUAUUAGAAGAUCUUGCUAAUUGCUUUGUGAUUUGAGCAGGUGGAUGAGAUUCCUGAUUUCCAUAAUUAUCUGUGCCUGGAGGUUUAUAGAGGAAAGGAUCACUGGGUAGAUGAAACGCAGUGCCUACGAGUGGGGAGUACACUCCAGGGCGUGGAAAGAACUUCCUUCAGACAGCUGGAGACGACCUUCUGUGUGGGUAGGUGGGGACAUAAUCCCUUUUAUCCCGGCUUUCGUUUGCUUAAUUACCUCCUUAGCAGUACUCUUCAUGGCUGCAACAGGUGUCAGGCUUUGUAAAGGCAGACACUGAGAGCUGGCCAAGAUCCUUCGUCAGUCCUAACUGUGUGGCUGGACCUUCAAUACCAUGAGGUCUUGUUCCCAAUUGCCGUCUCUUGUCCUGGGGAUGAGAGAUAAAGUGUUGUGUUCAUUUCUGAUAGAAGUCCGGGAACCAGUCAGGAAGGGCCGCCCCUCCUUCCGCAUCCAAGAAAGAAACUACAAUGGAAGAAUUAGAGUGGGAGGACAGGCAUGGGGGAUGGAUACCAAGGGCUUUGUCCUUGCCUUGGAAAAUUGUCCUAUACGUUUGCAAAUCACAGGGAGUUAGCAGAGAAGAAACAACCGGAUUCUUUUCAUCACCUUAGCCCACAUAUUAUCUUGAGAUAAUGAGCACUACACUACACUUUGAGGGAGUGCAGAAACAUGGGAAGUGCAUGAUUAUGUGAUUUGGGACACUGGGAUUUGAGACUGCCCUGGCCAGUUGUGGAGCCUUGGGGAAGUUUCUCUGGCUUUCUGGGUCUCUCCAGUUUUCUCCUCUCUUGGUGGGGGUAGGGAGAGUGGGUGGACAGGGAUUAGGUGGUCUCUAUUCUAUGACUCACCAGCUACAGCACAGCCACGUCUCACAUACCCAGCCAAAGAUGUUGAUUGCUCUCAGCAGCCUUGCACUCUCCCCUCUCCUGCCUCCCCAGUGGGUUAUCGUGCUGACUCGACUAACACAACCCCCAUCUGGAUGCAGUCCAAACGCCAGAUGUGCCCCCGAUUAGCGUCGGUCUGGGGAAUGUUUCCAUGACUGAAAGGUCAGUGUCGGCUGGAAGUGCCCAGAGUGGGCUUCUGCCCCCCACCCGUGUCAGCUGCAAGAGCUGAACCUUCCAUUUAUCUCGUUGGCCCAGGAUCUUAGUUGGGGCAGCAGGGGAUGGGGGCAGGGGCUGGCCAAGUCCAGGAGGGGCCUUGUUUUACUGGCCUUCCCUUUUUGCUCUCCAGCGAAGGACAGAGUGUGAUUUUCCACUUGGAAGAGACUCCAGGGGUGUGCAAAGAGGGAAGUCCUGCUGGUGUGUAACUGAAAACACUUUGUUCUCCUUUAGAUCUUCAAUGUGCUCAUGUCUCUUCUGAUUUUCUUAGGGGGCCGUCACCUCCACUACGGAAAGAAAAAUGAACGAUAAUGUUGUGAUGGGCUGGGCUGCCGUGUUUUGCCCUAUUUACAGAUGUGAUGGCUGGAACUCUAGCAGCCACCUGCAGAACAUGAGGACAAGGGGCUUACUAUAGCAUGGGAGAGUGAUUAGCUGCCUCCAGAGGAUCAAAAAAAUGCCAAAUAGCCUUGGAUCAUCAGCUUCUAGCAUUAUUUUCAAUUGAAAAGAAAUAAACUGUCUUGUUUAAGUCACUUUGAUGUUGGACUUUUCUGUCACAUAGGAUAUAACCCUAACUAAUCCAGUGGUCACACAUUUGGUUUCUGGAGUCAGAUUACCUGGGUUGAAAUCCCACUUCCAUCAUUUUAUGGCCUCCAAUGUGGGCAAAUCUCUUAACCCCUAUAAGCCUCCAGUUUUCUGGACUGUGAAAUGGGAGUAUCAUUAUACUUAUUGCAUAGACUUGUUAUAUGUAUUAACGUAAUAUAAUGUAUGC
ensembl:lncRNA